rnacentral:rRNA from 1 species
UUGUAGCAGUGAAAUUCGUAGAGAUUGGGAGGAACAUCCAUGGCGAAGGCAGCUACCUGGGCCAACACUGACCCUGAGGCACGAAAGCGUGGGGAGCAAACAGGAUUASAUACCCUGGUAGUYCMCGCCSUAAACGAUGCGAACUGGAUGUUKGGUGCMAUUKGGCACKCAKUAUCGAAGCUAACGCGUUAAGUUCSCCGCCUGGGGAGUACGGYCGCAAGRCUGAAMCUCAAAGGAAUUGACGGGGGCCCGCACAAGCGGUGGAGUAUGUGGUUUAAUUCGAUGCAACGCGAAAAACCUUACCUGGCCUUGACAUCCAC